rnacentral:rRNA from 1 species
GACCUGCGGAGGGACAUUACCGAGUUAGGGUCUCACCGGCCCGAUCUCCCAACCCUUUGUCUACUUGACCAUCGUUGCUUCGGCGAGCCCGUCCUCACGGACCGCCGGGGGGUCUUUGUACCCCUUGGCCCGCGCUCGUCGACAGCCCCCAAAUUUAAAAAUCUUAACUAAACGUGUCUUGAAUCUAAGUAUUAUUGUUAAAUAAAAACAAAACUUUCAACAACGGAUCUCUUGGUUCUGGCAUCGAUGAAGAACGCAGCGAAAUGCGAUAAGUAAUGCGAAUUGCAGAAUUCCAGUGAGUCAUCGAAUCUUUGAACGCACAUUGCGCCCUUUGGUAUUCCGAAGGGCAUGCCUGUUCGAGCGUCAUUAUCACCCCUCAAGCCCUCGGCUUGGUGUUGGACGGUUUGGUGGAGACCCCCUUUGCGGGCUUCUACCCCUCCCAAAGACAAUGACGGCGGCCUCGUUGGACCCCCGGUACACUGAGUUCUUCACGGGACACGUAUCGGACACAUGGGUUCACGGGACACGGUCUGCCUCCCCUCAGGGAGAAUCUUUUUUAUCAAGGUUGACCUCGGAUCAGGUAGGGAUACCCGCUGAACUUAAGCAUAUCAAUAAGCGGAGGAAAAGAAACCAACAGGGAUUGCCUCAGUAACGGCGAGUGAAGCGGCAACAGCUCAAAUUUGAAAUCUGGCCUCUUUGGGGUCCGAGUUGUAAUUUGUAGAGGAUGUUUCGGGUACCGCCUCGGUUUAAAUUUCUUGG